rnacentral:tRNA from 1 species
GAGCAUAUAGCACAGUGGCAGAGCAUGUGCUUAGCAUGCACAAGGUUCUGGGUUCAAUCCCCUGUACCUCCA